AUCACUUAGACAUAAGUAAAAAACCAAUAACUUACAUAUACAUAUGUAUUUAUAUAUACUUCUGUAUAUGGACGUGUGUAUGUCUAGACUGUUGUUAUCGCUACGCGUUUAAGAGCGCAUCAAAACACCGGGUCAAGUUUAUUGUCUCAGCUGCUUUUGCGACGAAGCUGAAAACAUGAUAUUCCUACCGAGUAUAAAUAUCAGGCCUGAAUGUUCUUUCAGACAUUGCAGUUUCAGUAUUUGCAACAUGAAGUUCUUCGCUCUCUUUGCUUUUGUCCUGGCCUUAGUGGCGAUGGCUAUGGCCAUGCCUGAACCUCUGCCCGGUGGUGGCGGCGGCGGCGGUGGCGGUGGUGGUCUCACCUUUGAAGAACUCGGUGGAGGCGGCGGCGGCGGUGGUGGCGGUGGUCUCAACCUUGAACUUGGCGGAGGCGGUGGUGGUGGCGGCGGCGGUGGCAAGUAAAGCGCACAACCCCAAAGGACAUAGUUUAACACAUUGUUAAUUAAUUUUACUGUUUGGCCCAAGGAUUUAGAACAAAUUAUUACAUUAAUAAAUCUAAUUUGAUAAACAAAAUAUAA